GACGGACGCUGGCGGCGUGCUUAACACAUGCAAGUCGAGCGGUGAAGCGCCUUCCUUUUUGGUGGGUGUGGAUGAGUGGCGAACGGGUGAGUAACACGUGAGUAACCUGCCCCCUUCUUCUGGAUAACCGCAUGAAAGUGUGGCUAAUACGGGAUAUUCUGGGUCUGUCGCAUGAUGGGUCUGGGAAAGAUAUUGUUUCGGUGGGGGAUGGGCUCGCGGCCUAUCAGCUUGUUGGUGGGGUGAUGGCCUACCAAGGCGGUGACGGGUAGCCGGCCUGAGAGGGUGGACGGUCACACUGGGACUGAGACACGGCCCAGACUCCUACGGGAGGCAGCAGUGGGGAAUAUUGCACAAUGGGCGCAAGCCUGAUGCAGCGACGCCGCGUGCGGGAUGGAGGCCUUCGGGUGGUGAACCUCUUUCGCCAGUGAAGCAGGCCUGCCUCGUUUGUGGGUGGGUUGACGGUAGCUGGAUAAGAAGCGCCGGCUAACUACGU
rnacentral:rRNA from 1 species